rnacentral:misc_RNA from 1 species
GACUCAUUGUGGAUGGAACUCUACUUUAGAAGGUGUGAGUGCUGGGUUACCAAUGGUAACCUGGCCCAUUUUUGCUGAACAGUUUUUCAAUGAGAAAUUGAUUACUGAUGUUUUGAGGAUCGGAGUUGGGGUUGGUGCUCAAAAAUGGAUGAGAAUGGUGGGAGAUUAUGUGACUAGUGAAAAGAUAGAGAAGGCAGUGAAGGA